rnacentral:rRNA from 1 species
AUGGAUGAGGUCACAAGGGAUAUACAAGGAGAUAUCCCAUGGUGUAUGCUCUUUGCGGAUGAUGUGGUGCUAGUUGACGAUAGUCGGACGGGGGUAAAUGGGAAGUUAGAGUUAUGGAGAGAAACCUUGGAAUCGAAAGGGUUUAGGCUUAGUAGAGCUAAAACCGAGUACAUGAUGUGCGGUUUUAGUACUACUAGGUGUGAGGAGGAGGAGGUUAGCCUUGAUGGCCAGGUGGUACCUCGGAAGGACACCUUUCAGUAUUUGGGGUCAAUGUUGCAGGAGGAUGGGGGUAUUGAUGAAGAUGUGAACCAUCGAAUCAAAGCCGGAUGGAUGAAGUGGCGCCAAGCUUCUGGCAUUCUCUGUGACAAGAGAGUGCGACAAAAGCUAAAAGGCAAGUUCUACAGGACGGCGGUUCGACCCGCAAUGUUGUAUGGCGCGGAGUGUUGGCCGACUAAAAGGCAACAUGUUCAACAAUUAGGUGUGACGGAGAUGCGUAUGUUGAGAUGGAUGUGUGGCCACACGAGGAAGGAUCGAGUCCAGAAUGAUGAUAUACGAGAUAGAGUUGGGGUAGCACCAAUUGAGGAGAAGCUUGUCCAACAUCGUCUGAGAUGGUUUGGGCAUAUUCAGCGCAGGCCUCCAGAAGCUCCAGUGCAUAGCGGACGGCUAAAGCGUGCAGAGAAGGUCAAGAGAGGGCGGGAUCGACGGAAUUUGACAUGGGAGGAGUCCGUUAAGAGAGACCUGAAAGAUUGGAGUAUCGACAAAGAGCUAGCUAUGAACAGGGGUGCGUGGAAGCUUGCUAUCCAUGUGCCAGAGCCAUGA